UACGAAGGGUGCAAGCGUUAAUCGGAAUUACUGGGCGUAAAGCGUGCGCAGGCGGUUAUGUAAGACAGUUGUGAAAUCCCCGGGCUCAACCUGGGAAUUGCAUCUGUGACUGCAUAGCUAGAGUACGGUAGAGGGGGAUGGAAUUCCGCGUGUAGCAGUGAAAUGCGUAGAUAUGCGGAGGAACACCGAUGGCGAAGGCAAUCCCCUGGACCUGUACUGACGCUCAUGCACGAAAGCGUGGGGAGCAAACGGG
rnacentral:rRNA from 1 species